rnacentral:tRNA from 1 species
GGUGGCUCAAGUGGUAGAGCACUUGCCUUGCAUGCAUGAGACCCUGGGUUCGAUUCCUCAGCACCA